AACAAAUUGUCAAAACAUUGCCAAUUUUGGGGUCAAAUUCGUAUUUUUGACUAUGGAAUCAAUUAGAGGGGCCUUAUUAUUAUUAAGACCUAUUACAUGAAAACUUAAGAUAUCAAUAGAUUAAGAUAUCACGGGAUCACCCUGAAAUAUUGCAGAGAACUGUGACUAUCCUUUUUGCGGGCAUGUUAUCAUCACAAGAAAAAGUUUCCUCAACCUCAGCCUCAACCAGGUGGCUGGGGAGCUGGAGCAUGGGGUGGCCAUGGAGGAUGGGGUGGUAAUGGAGCCUGGGGUCAUGGAGGAUUGAGAAAAUGGUAAACCAUCUUAAAAAUCCUAUGGGGAGAAUAGUAUCAAGAUGCAGCUUGCUGAAGUGUGUAACAUGUAGUUUAUUGGACGAUAUUUUAUAGUCUAAUUUUGUACAUCUUAUUUUGUUUAUAUGUAAUGUUGCAUUAUAUUCUCCUAAUAUGUUUAAUUAAAUUGGAAAAAUUGAAAAAAU